UCCAUUGUUCAAGCCGGUGGGGGCUGCAGGCGAGCCUGCUACGUGGGAGCUGUAAGGAGCCGGCGGCCCAGGCGCUGCGGCGGUUACAGGAGCAGCCUCCGACCCUGGGUUUCAGCACAGAGCUCUUCGUGGUUUGUAGCACCGUCUCGGACCAGGGUGGCCCUAGGGAGGCCUGUCCGGGUACACGCGCACAGGUAAUUUGGGCAAAGUCUUCAAUACUUGCAGAGAACAGUUCAGUAAACAAGUCACCUGAAAAACAGAGUACCAAGAAGUACAUUCUUGACGUCUACCUUCUAAUCUGAUUGGACUUCUAUUUAUUUUUUUAAACUUCUUAGUAUUUACAAUGAAUGGGCACAGUGAUGAAGACACUGUAAGAAACAGUAGUGGAGAAUCAAGCCAAUCGAGUGAUGAUUCUGUGUCAGCAUCAGCUUCUGGAUCUGGUUCAACCUCUGGAAGCAGUAGUGAUGGAAGUAGCAGUCAAUCAGAUAGCACUGACUCUGAAUCUGGUUCAGAGUCAGGCAGUCAAUCAGAAUCAGAGUCUGACACAUCUAGACAGAAGAAACAAAUUCAAGAUAAACCACCAUCAAAAGCUGAUGAA